ensembl:lncRNA
GAACACACCAAGCAGCUAUCAGUGUGAACUAUCAGGUUGUCACCUUAUUUCAUCCAGGAGGUAAGCACAUGGCAAGUCCAUGCCUUUCCUAUCAAUCUAUCUGAAAAUCAGAAUUCAGAAAAGAGACGGUUAUCCCUGGGACAUGUGUGAAUUAUUCUUGGCCUGGCUCAUGCUCCAUCAUUUCUCAAGGAUUUCGGCUCCCAGCCCACUGACUCUCUCCAGUCCUAUCUUGUAUGUCCUGGAGAUUUUAAAAUACAGUAAGCACGCUUUUUGGAACACCUCAUUUCCACUGCCACACCGUAUCCACCUGCCCCACGGUCUUAUACUAGACUUCGUUAUUACCAAUAAUUUCAAUCCCACCAUAACCUCAGUUCCCACCACCUCCUGCCUUUCCAGCUUACCCACUAGAACCUCAAUUCCACUUAGCCAUGGACCCCACCAGAUCCUGCCAUCUGCUGACGUUAUCUUUUCUUCACUGGCCUCACUCCUCCUGCUCCCCUUCUUACCCACCUUCAAUUUCAUGGCCAGUCAUUGUGGUCACCCCCUUGUACACGUCUUCAAUUUCUUAUCUUUUUGCUUUGCCAUAGCAAGAUAUGAGCUGAGGAGCAUAAGGCAACUGGCAGAGGCAACAAGACCACCACAGUGUAGACAGAGCUCGCUCUGUCACAAUCGUAGCUCACUGCAGCGUCAAGCUCCUGGACUCAAGCGAUCCUCCCACCUCAGCCUCCCAAGCUGCCUGGACUAAGGCACACACCACCUUGCCCAGAUCCGCAUAUACAUUCUAAUAUGUAUACAUAUUUUUUGUACACCCUUUUAUCCCAAAUGGUAACAUAAUAUUGUUUUGCACUUUGCUUUGAUACUUAAUAAAUCAUUUGAAGUCUAUUUCCCUCUCUAUCCCUACAUGUGCAAGACUGAAACUGGAUUUUUAAAGUCCUGUGCUUUUAUCAGAGCCUGUCCCUGGAUGACGGCCUUUGGUUAAGGUGGCUGAAGCUGGGGCCAUGGGAUGCUAAUGCUGGAAGACUUAGAGAUCAUGGGGUCAGCCUCCCCCACUGCAGGUGAGUACACAGGUGGCUACAGAAGGGAGGUGAUCUCAUUAAACUACUGCUGCCAGCACUAGCCCCAAGAACAGUUGAGUGAGCCCAUAGAUGGUGGCAGAUUUUGGCAGCCAGCCCAGAGUGCCUCAGCUCAGUGCCCUGGGCCACAGCCUGUUAGGGAGAACCCCAGGCCUGGCUUCAGUUCCUCUUAAUCAGAGAGAAAUCUGGCCCAUAAUGACCAAGUUCAUGUUGAGAAGCACCUGGGCCUUUGUUCCAGCCUCUUCCCUCUUCCCCAGCCUCCCCUUUAUGGUGGUAAAGUGCCCCUAAAGCCAGUCCAGGAAGAGCAGAAGAGAGCAUCAGAGGCUCCGCAGUAGAUCCAGGGGUCCACUCCCUUCUCUGGGUCUUGAUCCUCCAAAUUUCCCCCGUUUACAUGGUAAAUAACUCAAAGUUAUCCUUGAAAGGAGCUUCCAUAACAUGAAAAUUCAAAGAAGAUGUAAAGUAACCUUCCUUUCUGAAAUAGAAUUACAUUUAGGGAGAACAUCUUAUAUAGAUUUAACCAUGAGGCUGAAAGGCGGAAGGACAGGAUUUCCCCUUGGGAAGCCCUGAAGGAGUUCAGGAUAGGAGGGACAGAUUAGAUUCCAUUUUUGCAGGAUGCUUUAGGGAUGGUUUUACUUGAAGAUCAGAGAUGGCCCGAAACUCAGUGGUUUAGAGACUUUUGCCAUUUGGUAAAUGAGCAAAACUUUACACACAAAAAAAUUAAGGGCCAACAAAAGGCUGACAACUUCGUAUUCUGCAAUUAAGGAUAUAUGUGUGGUAGAUAGAGAUAAAGAAAUACUGUUUGCUUUCGCUGUUGUUUCACAAAGAAAGGACUUUUAUAUGUGUAUGUAUAUAUUGAUUUUUAACUUCCUUUUUUACUUUUGGGGGUCCAUGUGAAUGCCUAUUAUAUAGGUAAACUCAUGUCACAGGGGUUUGUUGUACAAAUUAUUUAAUCAUCAAGGUAUUAAACCUAGUAUCCAAUACGUAUUUUUUCUGCUCCUCUCCUUCCUCCCACCCUCCACCUUUAAGUAGACCCCAACAUCUGUUUCCUUCUUUGUACUCAAGAGUUCUCAUCAUUUAGCUACCACUUAUAAGUGAGAACAUGCAGUAUUUGCUUUUCUGUUCCUAUGUUAAUUUGCUAAGGAUAAUGGCCUCCAGCUCCUCCAUGUUCUUGCAGAGGACAUGAGCUCAUUCUUUUUUAUGAUAGCAUAGUAUUUCAUGAUGUGUACGUACCACAUU